GGACAGUGGCUUCGGGGCCGCUCCACGGAGCUCGCCCCGGGGUCGGCUAAACCCAGCCGCGGCGGCGGCAACGCGAGGCCGGAACGCUCCUUCCCGGCGGUUACCCUCGGCCCCGCGGUGGCCUCGUUAUGCACACAAAGCCCCGUUUGGUGCCUUCAGCCAAGCCAAGCCAAGUUGAUUUUUCGCGGUUCUGCAGACCCUGAGCAGGCAGAGAUUUCAAACUUGGCAGAGCGGAGAGAGGCGAGGCCCCCGCAGCAAUAAGUGGUAAUUGCCGUUAUUGGUACCAGGCCUGUCGAACGACGGAGGGAAGGGUGUUUGUUUCAUCCGGACAAUUGCUUAGGGAUGGGACUCCAGCCUCACACAUACCGAGGGAGGGAGCACUCCACCACUGCUUCAGCAGCUCGGCUGUCCCUGCCUCUGUGCUGGCUUCCUUUGAAGGCAACUGAGUCCCCAAAACCUGGGAACAGCAGCAGCAGACGAUACCUGAGAGGAGGCAGGUCAGCGAUUCUCAACCUUCCUGAAGCUUUGACCCUUUAACACAAUUUUUCAGGUUAUGGGAAAAAAUUAUUUUUGUCGUUCCUUCAUUACUGUAAUUUUGCUACUGUCGUGAAUCACAAGGUAAAUAUCUGGUAUGCAGGAUAUCUGAUAAGUGACCCCUGUGAAAGGGUGGCUUGACCCCCAAAGGAAUCCUGACCCACGGGUUGAGAAUUGCUGAGCCAGGAAUUGCUCAGGACUUCCUGCCCAUCACAGCGAGAGAAAGAGCUGAGGGCCAGCGGCACAGAGCACAUGCUACCCCAGGCAGGCCUCCUCGGGAGCAUGAGUUCCAGGUGAGCCUGGUCUACACCUGAGGAGCUCUAAGACAGCCAGAGCUACAUAACAGAGUCCCCGGUCUCAAACAAACACAGACAAAGCACAAAGACUGGCCCAGCUCCUAAGGAUGAGGCAGAGAGAUGGCUUGAGCUGAAAUCGAGGCUAAGACUGGACAACACAGUGUGAUUCUGUACAAAAAUUAAACACACAAAGCUAGCACUGUAUUUACUUUAAUAAAAAAUAAAAUUCUUCUUUAAAAAAUUUUUGAAAUGUAGACCGGGCAGUGGUGGCCUUUAAUCCCAGUACUUGAAAGGCAGAGGCAAGUGGAUGUCUGUGAGUUCAAGGAAGGCCAGCCUGGUCUACAUAAUAAGUUUCAGGACAGCCCGGGCUAUCCCCUGGAAAAAAAUUUAUUUUAAAUGCAUGGAAGUGUAUUCUAAUGGUGGUGUAAGGGGUGCAACUCCAUGUUGUAGAAGGAGGCGCAAAGAACUGUGUGGUGUUGGAGUAAGGAAAGCCUUUCCAGUUAGAACCCAGAACCCAGAAAUGACAAAGAGAUAUAAGUAUGUAUGUGUUUAUAUCACAUGGGUGUAGGAUAUGGGAGGGGCCUGUGUGACAGUCAGGACACAGUUUGGUUCUCCCCUUCAGUUGACCAGUUUACCUGAGGCAUAGACUUAGAGAAGAUGUCGUGCAGCUGCAAGAAGGGACAAUCAGGUGUUGAGUGAGGUGCUGGAAUUGAAGGUGUGCACCACCACACCUGGCAAGGCCAGUCCAUCUUAAGAAACCACCGUCAUGUGUGUGCUACACCACAUGGCCCAGGACUAUCUGUGCACCCACAAACAAACAUGCACACACUGUAAAGACAAUACAACGUAAUUUUUCAUAAAAUGUUUGAUUUCCGACAUAUUUUGGGAUGAGUCUCAAGAAAAUAUUAAGGGUGGCUACUACCUGGGGAGUACUGUCACGUCACGUCACUGCAAUGACUGAGUAGUAACCGGUCGCAUGGGUUACACAUUGUGCACCGUCUCUUACUAUUAGACUUGGGAGCCUGGUUCCUAAUUAUCAUAGAUGUGUACAAUCUGCUGAGGGAAGAUCUGAAAUGAGACUCUGUGGCAUUUAAGGCCUUCCAGGCAGGGUUCUCUAUCCAAGAGCCAGGGGUGGUUAGCCAUUAGCCGGUGUGCACCCCUAAUGGCGCUGGAGACCAAUUAUUCAUUGCCCCUUACCGAAAACAGGAACAAAUGCCGUCACAGCCUGGAAGGAGGUGACCAGAUGUGGGAAAAAAAAUCAAACACUUUUUUUUUAAGAUUUAUUUAUUAUGUAUACGGUGUUCUACCUGCAUGUAUGACUGCAGAUCAGAAGAGGGCACGAGGUCUCAUUGUAGAUGGCUGUGAGCCACCAUGUAGUUGCUGGGAAUUGAACUCAGGACCUCUGGAAGAGCAGCCAGUGCUCUUAACCAUUGAGACAUCUCUCCAGCUCCAAGGUGAGGCCACACUUACCUUGACAAUUGUUUUUUUUAUAGGCUAAGCAUUACGAUGUGUGAAAAUAGGGCGGGGUUAUUUUAAUCAAAAACGAAUUUAUAAAUAUGUGGGUAAAGUUAGUGCACUCCUAUAAAGGAAGGAACUGAAUUAAAGGAAGGCUUUCCAGUC